CUUGUGGAUUCUCAUGAAGUCCCUUCCCCACCAGAGCGGUUAAAGAAUUACCAGCUGGCAAGAAUCAGUGCAUAAAGACAGAAUCCCUUAUGGUGAACAUGUAGAGGAGAAUAAAGACGGCACUUGGAAACUUGUGUUGACUGUAGCUUUUACUAAGGUAAGAUGACGUCUUUAGGGCUCUAUUUGUUAACUAGAAUCACUUCUCAGCAGGUAUAAUUAAUAUGAUCCUACUGUUUUUUUCUCCUUUAUUAAUAUUGUGAC
rnacentral:lncRNA from 1 species